GUUCUGUUUGGCUCAGUUGGUAGAGCAUGGUGUUUGCAACGCCAGGGUUGUGGGUUCGAUUCCCACGGGGAACC
rnacentral:tRNA from 1 species